rnacentral:rRNA from 1 species
CAUGCAAGUCGAGGGGAAACGACAUCGAAAGCUUGCUUUUGAUGGGCGUCGACCGGCGCACGGGUGAGUAACGCGUAUCCAACCUGCCCAUCACUUGGGGAUAACCUUGCGAAAGUAAGACUAAUACCCAAUGACGUCUCUAGAAGACAUCUGAAAGAGAUUAAAGAUUUAUCGGUGAUGGAUGGGGAUGCGUCUGAUUAGCUUGUUGGCGGGGUAACGGCCCACCAAGGCGACGAUCAGUAGGGGUUCUGAGAGGAAGGUCCCCCACAUUGGAACUGAGACACGGUCCAAACUCCUACGGGAGGCAGCAGUGAGGAAUAUUGGUCAAUGGGCGAGAGCCUGAACCAGCCAAGUAGCGUGCAGGAUGACGGCCCUAUGGGUUGUAAACUGCUUUUAUAAGGGAAUAAAGUGAGUCUCGUGAGACUUUUUGCAUGUACCUUAUGAAUAAGGACCGGCUAAUUCCGUGCCAGCAGCCGCGGUAAUACGGAAGGUCCGGGCGUUAUCCGGAUUUAUUGGGUUUAAAGGGAGCGUAGGCCGGAGAUUAAGCGUGUUGUGAAAUGUAGACGCUCAACGUCUGCACUGCAGCGCGAACUGGUUUCCUUGAGUACGCACAAAGUGGGCGGAAUUCGUGGUGUAGCGGUGAAAUGCUUAGAUAUCACGAAGAACUCCGAUUGCGAAGGCAGCUCACUGGAGCGCAACUGACGCUGAAGCUCGAAAGUGCGGGUAUCGAACAGGAUUAGAUACCCUGGUAGUCCGCACGGUAAACGAUGGAUGCCCGCUGUUGGUCUGAAUAGGUCAGCGGCCAAGCGAAAGCAUUAAGCAUCCCACCUGGGGAGUACGCCGGCAACGGUGAAACUCAAAGGAAUUGACGGGGGCCCGCACAAGCGGAGGAACAUGUGGUUUAAUUCGAUGAUACGCGAGGAACCUUACCCGG